GGNGGGGGCAAGCGUUGUUCGGAAUUACUGGGCGUAAAGGGCUCGUAGGCGGCCAACUAAGUCGGAUGUGAAAUCCCCAGGCUUAACCUGGGAACUGCAUCCGAUACUGGAUGGCUUGAAUUCGGGAGAGGGAUGCAGAAUUCCAGGUGUAGCGGUGAAAUGCGUAGAUAUCUGGAGGAAUACCGGUGGCGAAGGCGGCAUCCUGGACCGAGAUUGACGCUGAUGAGCGAAAGCUAGGGGAGCAAACGGGAUUAGAUACCCCGGUAGUCCUAGCCCUAAACGAUGAAUGCUUGGUGUGGCGGGUAUCGAUCCCUGCCGUGCCGAAGCUAACGCAUUAAGCAUUCCGCCUGGGGAGUACGGUCGCAAGGCUG
rnacentral:rRNA from 1 species